rnacentral:tRNA from 1 species
GGUGACAUGGCUCAGUGGCAGAGUGUUUGCCUAGCAUGCAGGAGGCCCUGGGUUCCAUCCUCAGCACCA